UACGUAGGGGGCGAGCGUUGUCCGGAUUCAUUGGGCGUAAAGCGCGUGCAGGCGGCCUGGUAAGUCGGCCGUGAAAGCGCCAGGCUUAACCUGGCGAGGUCGGGCGAGACUGCUAGGCUGGAGGCCGGUAGAGGGCGGUGGAAUUCCGGGUGUAGUGGUGGAAUGCGUAGAGAUCCGGAGGAGCACCAGUGGCGAAGGCGGCCGCCUGGGCCGGACCUGACGCUGAGACGCGAAAGCGUGGGGAGCGAUCCGG
rnacentral:rRNA from 1 species